AGAAGCUUGCUUCUAAAUAACCUAGCGGCGGACGGGUGAGUAACACGUAGGCAACCUGCCCACAAGACAGGGAUAACUACCGGAAACGGUAGCUAAUACCCGAUACAUCCUUUUCCUGCAUGGGAGAAGGAGGAAAGACGGAGCAAUCUGUCACUUGUGGAUGGGCCUGCGGCGCAUUAGCUAGUUGGUGGGGUAAAGGCCUACCAAGGCGACGAUGCGUAGCCGACCUGAGAGGGUGAUCGGCCACACUGGGACUGAGACACGGCCCAGACUCCUACGGGAGGCAGCAGUAGGGAAUCUUCCGCAAUGGGCGAAAGCCUGACGGAGCAACGCCGCGUGAGUGAUGAAGGUUUUCGGAUCGUAAAGCUCUGUUGCCAGGGAAGAACGUCUUGUAGAGUAACUGCUACAAGAGUGACGGUACCUGAGAAGAAAGCCCCGGCUAACUACGUGCCAGCAGCCGCGGUAAUACGUAGGGGGCAAGCGUUGUCCGGAAUUAUUGGGCGUAAAGCGCGCGCAGGCGGCUCUUUAAGUCUGGUGUUUAAUCCCGAGGCUCAACUUCGGGUCGCACUGGAAACUGGAGAGCUUGAGUGCAGAAGAGGAGAGUGGAAUUCCACGUGUAGCGGUGAAAUGCGUAAAGAUGUGGAGGAACACCAGUGGCGAAGGCGACUCUCUGGGCUGUAACUGACGCUGAGGCGCGAAAGCGUGGGGAGCAAACAGGAUUAAAUACCCUGGUAGUCCACGCCGUAAACAAUAAAAUGCUAAGUGUUAGGGGGUUCCAAACCCUUGGUGCCCAAAAUUAACACAUUAAACAUU
rnacentral:rRNA from 1 species